rnacentral:rRNA from 1 species
CCUACGGGAGGCAGCAGUAGGGAAUUUUCGUCAAUGGGCGCAAGCCUGAACGAGCGAUGCCGCGUGAGUGAAGAAGGCCUUCGGGUCGUAAAGCUCUGUUGCGGGGGAAAAAGGCAGCAUCAGGAAAUGGGUGCUGACUGAUGGUGCACCGCCAGAAAGUCACGGCUACCUACGUGCCAGCAGCCGCGGCAAUACGGAGGUGGCGAGCGUUAUCCGGAAUGGUUGGGCGUAAAGGGUGCGCAGGCUGUCCUGCAAGUCUGGAGUGAAACGCAUGAGCUCAAAUCAGGGAUGGCUUUGGAAACUGGAGGAAUGGAGAGCAGGAGAGGGCGGUGGAAUGCCAGGUGGAGCGGUAAAAGGCGUAGAUAUAGGGAAGAACACCGGGGGCGAAGGCGGCCGCCUGGCCUGUUGCUGACGCUGAGGCACGAAAGCGUGGGGAGCAAAUAGGAUUAGAUACCCUAGUAGUC